AUUGACAAGCUGGAAUUGCCUGGUGGAAUUCCUGGGACAAUGGAUGAGCUGCAAUCUAUUGUGCAACAGAAGUAUGGGUUAGAGCCAGGGAAGUUUACCUUGCAUUACAGGGAUGCUGAUUUUGGAGGGGAGUUUUUUUCUCUUACCUCAACAAGAGAUCUCAAGCACAAAGACAUAAUUAAGGUUGUUCAUAUUGUUGAACUCAACUCAAUGAACUUGGUUGUAACAGACCAGGAUAGCUUUAACACAAGUGCAUCCAGCAGUUCCAUUUGGCCUGCCAGUACUUCAUGCGAAUCCGAUGAUUCAGUGAUACUGUCUUUACCUAAACAAAGUAAUCGGCGUUCUCAGCGUUGGCCUUCCGAAUUUCCAAUUCCACGUUUCCGCAAUGACACAGAGCUUGUGCUUGCAGCAGGUAGCGAAGCUUUCAAAGCUCUGCUGCCAUCCUUCCAGACAUCCUUGAGAGUUUAGCUGAAAGCAUCUUUGAGUAUGUCGCCUAUCCUACAAGCGCACAGUUCGCAGAUGUAGCAGAAGCAUUGAUUCGAAAACAUCCUUGCCUUAAAGAGCCUGGAUCCUACAGUGGAUGUUACGGAUGGCAGCAAAGACUGAAAUUUAAAAUAGGCAAUUACAGAUCCAAACUGAGAGGGCUUGGGUGUCCUGAGCUUGAUGUAAAUGCUCUCAAAAAGAAGCGAGCAAAUGAAAAGACGCCCGCUUAGAAUGUGAAGAAGGCACGGAAGGGUGAGGCAAACUACUUGCCACCUCAUCCUCAGGGAGAAACACAAGAAAGUUUGGAACAAGAAAGACUGGAGCUCCUAAGUGAAGUAAAGAAGAGAAAUAAUUUGCAGAUCAUCAAUGAGAAAAUGGAAAGGACAUUGUCCAUUCGCAGACAGGAAGUUGUCACCCUGUCCCCACCUGUCAGUGACUUGAAGGAACGUUGGCCUGCUCUUUUUCUUCCAGCACAGGUGAAUGUGUUUUUCUUUUUAACAGACAAGUUGGCAAGUAUGACUUCAGCUGAAUUAAAGUUUAAUUCAUUUAUUUUAAUUUGACAUCUCUCUCAUCCCAUGUUGCUUUAUGUUGUGUCACACAGAUCAAUGAAGAAUAUAAAAGGAUCACCACCACUAAUCUGGAGUCGGCGUUCAUGGAAAAUCUGGAUGAGUGCAUAUCAAGUCUAACGCCAUUGGUGUUGUCAUGAGGAGGGGCGGCAAAAAAGAAGAUUCAGAACAUCAUGGAACUCCUUAAGGACAACACGAUUGAAACACGCCGAGAGGUUGCCAUCCGCUGCCUAGUAGUGUAUCUUGGGGAAAAGGAGGAGGAUCUUUUCAAAUAUUUGGAUGCUGAUGGUCAAAUCAGAGAUCAAGACAGUGAUGAAGAUCCUAGUUACCAAAGGUGCCACAGCAUCUGAUCCAGCCAUUGCGAGUAUCAUAAUCGAGGGAACAAAAGUCAUGGGGGGGUUGAAUGUACUGAGGGCUUGUGCCUUGCUGAUGGGACUCAUCUAUGCCCUCAAUCUGAGCUACCCAAGAGAGCUGAAGUACACCUUUGAGGUGUUUCAGAUGGUGUUUCUUAAAUUAGAUGGUCAGAAAACCACCCCAAAAGUUACGUCUCUUAGGCGGAAGCUGCCAGCAAUCAUCUUUGAACAUCAAACAUGGAUCUCACUUGCUGUUCCAAUUGUUCCCCCCCCCACCCCCCCGAUGUUGCAGUCAAAUACCAUCCAGACUGCAGGUUAGAUGUCUGGUACUGCUACUGUUCAAUGCUGGAGUUUGAUCUAAAAGUAAUUUCAGUGUUUUUCAUGGUUUAAGUCAGGGGUCUCCAACUCCGGUCCUGGAGAGCUACUAUCCAGUAGGUUUUCUGUCCCACUUGGCUUCUGA